AAGCACGACAAAGGACUGGGAAAUGCAACUUCACCUGGAGCAAGAUCUGUUAUGCUUUGGCAAGAUCAACCUCGCCGACCUUAAAGGACCCAGGUACCCCUGGGACACAGAGGGCAACCACAGCAGCAAAAACCCAAAGUGCUGCUGCUCAUGGUGACUGUGUGAGAACUGAAACUUCUGAGGGAAGCCAGGUUGUUAAAAUCGUGAUUCCAUUUACUCAACAAUAACAAGGAUGAUCUAGUCUGAAAGGGAAAGCAUGCUCUUAAGGUUGGACUCCACCUAAAGAAACCCUAGAUCUUGGACCAGGUUGCUGGUGGGGGGCAACUGCUGACAGUUCAAACGUCAACUCUUGGAGCCAGUCUGUGGUGUUAACAUAAAUACAAGCAGUUACUCAGAAAUACAUCAGC